AUUGAACGCUGGCGGCAUGCUUUACACAUGCAAGUCGAACGGUAACAGGCCUUCGGGUGCUGCCGAGUGGCGAACGGGUGAGUAAUGCAUCGGAACGUGCCCAGAGGUGGGUGAUAACGCAGCGAAAGCUGUGCUAAUACCGCAUGUGAUCUGAGGAUGAAAGCGGGGGACCAGGCAGCAAUGUUUGGCCUCGCGCCUUUGGAGCGGCCGAUGUCAGAUUAGGUAGUUGGUGGGGUAAAGGCCUACCAAGCCGACGAUCUGUAGCUGGUCUGAGAGGACGACCAGCCACACUGGGACUGAGACACGGCCCAGACUCCUACGGGAGGCAGCAGUGGGGAAUUUUGGACAAUGGGCGCAAGCCUGAUCCAGCAAUGCCGCGUGCGGGAAGAAGGCCUUCGGGUUGUAAACCGCCUUUGUACGGAACGAAAAGGCUCUGGCUAAUACCUGGGGCUGAUGACGGUACCGUAAGAAUAAGCACCGGCUAACUACGUG
rnacentral:rRNA from 1 species